rnacentral:rRNA from 1 species
AUUGAACGCUGGCGGCAUGCUUUACACAUGCAAGUCGGACGAGUGGCGAACGGGUGAGUAAUAUAUUGGAACGUACCGAGUAAUGGGGGAUAACCAAUCGAAAGAUUGGCUAAUACCGCAUACUAUUCGAGUGGCCUAUAUCUGAUUAGCUAGUUGGGGGGGUAAAGGCCAACCAAGGCGACGAUCAGUAGCGGGUCUGAGAGGAAGAUCGCCCACACUGGGACUGGAAACCGGCCCAGACUCCUACGGAAGGCACCAGUGGGGAAUUUUGGACAAUGGGCGAAAGCCUGAUCCAGCCAGGCCGCGUGGCGGAAGAGGGCCUUCGGGUUGUAAAGUACGUUUGUUAGGGAAGCGGUACCUAAAUAGUAAGCACCGGCUAACUACGUGCCAGCAGCCGCGGUAAUUC